rnacentral:rRNA from 1 species
GACGGAGGAUGCAGCGUUGCUCGGAAUCACUGGGCGUAAAGAGCGCGCAGGCGGUUCGUACAUGUCGGCAUGUGAAAGCCCCCGGCUCAACUGGGGAGGUCAUUCGAUACUGUCCGACUCGAAGGCAGGAGAGGGAAGCGGAAUUCCCGGUGUAGUGGUGGAAUGCGUAGAGAUCGGGAGGAACACCAGAGGCGAAAGCGGUGCCCUGGCAUUGGCCUGACGCUGAGAUGCGAAAGCGUGGGAGCGAACGGG